GAUUAACGCUAGCGGCAGGUCUAAUACAUGCAAGUCGAACGGCAGCACGGGUAGCAAUACCUGGUGGCGAGUGGCGCACGGGUGCGUAACGCGUAUGCAACCUACCUAUAACUGGGGAAUAGCCUUCUGAAAGGAAGAUUAACACCGCAUAAUAUCACGAGACGGCAUCGCCUUGUGAUCAAAUCUUCGGAGGUUAUAGAUGGGCAUGCGUGACAUUAGCUAGUUGGUGAGGUAACGGCUAACCAAGGCUACGAUGUCUAGGGGGUCUGAGCAGAUGAUCCCCCAGGCUGGUACUGCGGCACAGACCAGACUCCUACGGGAGGCAGAAGUAAGGAAUAUUGGACACUGGGCGCAAGCCUAAUCCAGCCAUGCCGCGUGAAGAAAGAAGGCGCUAUGCGUUGUAAACUUCUUUUCCAGGGGGUGAAUUUUCCGGUCGUGACCGGAAUUGACGGUACCCUGGGAAUAAGCAUCGGCUAACUCCGUGCCAGCCGCCGCGGUAACAC
rnacentral:rRNA from 1 species